ensembl:lncRNA novel transcript
GGACUUUGGAAGGCUGAGGCAGGCAGAUCACGAAGUCAGGAGAUCGAGACCAACCUGGCCAACAUGACAUAUCCCAAAUUCUACUGAUACAUGAAUCAAGAGAAGCUUCUCAAGUUAUAGAUCUCAGAGUAAAUAUAUAUACCAUCCUAUCCCAAUCCAUCUUGCUCUAAAUACUGCUUUUUCUGAGGCUGUCAAAAGCACAAGCUGCCAUGGUAAUGACAGGAAGAUAUGGGUGAAAUGCCAGCCCUAAUUAGAGACUUGAUUGCUCUGUAAUAACAAGGCCUGUAUUUGAUUUGGACGGUUCUGGGUUGUCAGGUAAAAUGAAUUAAAUAUGUCUGCACUUUCAUUUCAAAAUGUGAAAAAUGUGAAUGUGCAUUAUUUAUAUUGUAUUUCAUGGCUAUAAUUAAUUAUGUGUCUGUGGACAUGAUGUCCCAAAGACAGUUGAUUUUAUGUUCAAUCUGUAUGUGCAUUUGUAAAACUAAUUUGUUCUCAUUAAAAUUUUUAAGGGUUUAUUCGAGUUAAACUCAGGAGGCCUUUCUGGGUAUACAACUCACAAAAUACAAAGCAAAAGUCGAAUUUACAUUUUUUUUGCUAGUAAACUAUUCAAUGCCUGAAGCAUUGUACUAGAUAUUAUUGUAGUGAAUAUGGUGGGCUAUAAAAAUAAAGAGAAGACAUACUUCCUUUUCAGAUAGUGCUUUUAAACUUGUUUGGAAGACUUCGGUAUAAAACAAAUGAACAUAAUGCAACCUGAGCUUCUAUUACUUAGUAAAAGAACAUUGUGUUUUGUCAAAGAAAUAUUAAGUCUGUAUGAUGAGUUGAACAGUUUUUCUUGUGAAUAUCCUAUAGAAAUGUGGAAGAUAUUUUGCUUUCUAAAACACUGUUCGGAAUUUCUUCCAGUUGUAAUUUUUAAUAUUUGCUAAAUGUAUCAACCAUUAAUAUUAAAAUUUUCAAAUA